AAAUAUUCCUGUACUUCUGGUUAUUGCGAUGGAGGGACGGAGAAGGCUAGGCCAGCUUGGCGUUGGUUGUCCAAGUUUAAGGUGGUAGGCUGAGAUCUUAGGUAAGUCCGGGAUCUUAAGGCCGAGAGCUGAUGACGAGUGUCCUUUAGGACACGAAGUGGUUGAUGCCAUGCUUCCAAGAAAAGCUUCUAAGCUUCAGGUAACCAGGAACCGUACCCCAAACCGACACAGGUGGUUGGGUAGAGAAUACCAAGGCGCUUGAGAGAACUCGGGUGAAGGAACUAGGCAAAAUGGCACCGUAACUUCGGGAGAAGGUGCGCCGGUGAGGGUGAAGCAUUUACUGCGUAAGCCCACGCCGGUCGAAGAUACCAGGCCGCUGCGACUGUUUAUUAAAAACACAGCACUCUGCAAACACGAAAGUGGACGUAUAGGGUGUGACGCCUGCCCGGUGCCGGAAGGUUAAUUGAUGGGGUUAGCUAACGCGAAGCUCUUGAUCGAAGCCCCGGUAAACGGCGGCCGUAACAAUAACGGUCCUAAGGUAGCGAAAUUCCUUGUCGGGUAAGUUCCGACCUGCACGAAUGGCGUAACGAUGGCGGCGCUGUCUCCACCCGAGACUCAGUGAAAUUGAAAUCGCUGUGAAGAUGCAGUGUAUCCGCGGCUAGACGGAAAGACCCCGUGAACCUUUACUAUAGCUUUGCACUGGACUUUGAAUUUGCUUGUGUAGGAUAGGUGGGAGGCUUUGAAGCGUGGACGCCAGUCUGCGUGGAGCCAACCUUGAAAUACCACCCUGGCAACUUUGAGGUUCUAACUCAGGUCCGUUAUCCGGAUCGAGGACAGUGUAUGGUGGGUAGUUUGACUGGGGCGGUCUCCUCCUAAAGAGUAACGGAGGAGUACGAAGGUGCGCUCAGACCGGUCGGAAAUCGGUCGUAGAGUAUAAAGGCAAAAGCGCGCUUGACUGCGAGACAGACACGUCGAGCAGGUACGAAAGUAGGUCUUAGUGAUCCGGUGGUUCUGUAUGGAAGGGCCAUCGCUCAACGGAUAAAAGGUACUCCGGGGAUAACAGGCUGAUACCGCCCAAGAGUUCAUAUCGACGGCGGUGUUUGGCACCUCGAUGUCGGCUCAUCACAUCCUGGGGCUGAAGCCGGUCCCAAGGGUAUGGCUGUUCGCCAUUUAAAGUGGUACGCGAGCUGGGUUUAGAACGUCGUGAGACAGUUCGUCCCUAUCUGCCGUGGACGUUUGAGAUUUGAGAGGGGCUGCUCCUAGUACGAGAGGACCGGAGUGGACGAACCUCUGGUGUUCCGGUUGUCACGCCAGUGGCAUUGCCGGGUAGCUAUGUUCGGAAUAGAUAACCGCUGAAAGCAUCUAAGCGGGAAACUAGCCUCAAGAUGAGAUCUCACUGGAACCUUGAGUUCCCUGAAGGGCCGUCGAAGACUACGACGUUGAUAGGUGGGGUGUGUAAGCGCUGUGAGGCGUUGAGCUAACCCAUACUAAUUGCCCGUGAGGCUUGACC
rnacentral:rRNA from 1 species